CCGGAUUUAAACGUUAUUCGAAAAGCACUGCAAUUUUAUUCUUAAUUGUGAUUUUUCAAGUGACUGGGCCUUCGAUGGCAAGACCACUUCCUAAAGCUGAUUCUCAAGGAGGCAA